rnacentral:rRNA from 1 species
AACGAACGCUGGCGGCAGGCUUAACACAUGCAAGUCGAACGCACUCUUCGGAGUGAGUGGCAGACGGGUGAGUAACGCGUGGGAAUCUACCCAGUCCUUCGGAAUAGCUCCUGGAAACGGGAAUUAAUACCGGAUACGCCCUUUUGGGGAAAGAUUUAUCGGGAUUGGAUGAGCCCGCGUAAGAUUAGCUAGUUGGUGGGGUAAUGGCCUACCAAGGCGACGAUCUUUAGCUGGUCUGAGAGGAUGAUCAGCCACACUGGGGCUGAGACACGGCCCAGACUCCUACGGGAGGCAGCAGUGGGGAAUAUUGGACAAGGGGCGCGAGCCUGAUCCAGCCAUGCCGCGUGAGUGACGAAGGCCUUAGGGUUGUAAAGCUCUUUCACCGGUGAAGAUAAUGACGGUAACCGGAGAAGAAGCCCCGGCUAACUUCGUGCCAGCCGCCGCCGUAA